rnacentral:lncRNA from 1 species
CCACUCAUCUCCCUCUGCAACCACACCUCCCCACCAGACUGUCCCUAACAGGAUGGAGAUGCCACAUACAAGCCAGAGAGAGGCCCAGGUGAAGUGGUUUUGACCAAGGUCCAUGGGGCUGCUCCCCUGAAGUUCUGUCAAAGAAACCAAUUUGCCAUGGCAACAGACCACUCAGAUGCUGGCCCCUCCUCCAGGCCCAGCCAACUACUGCCCCUUCCUGAAGGACAGUCUAACCUCCUUGGCAGCAGGCAGAAGCCAGGAAGGCACUCCUGGAGGAAGCGGGUGUCAGGCUGCCUGGCUUGAGGCCAUGCGUGGCUGAUUGCUGACCCGUGUCUCUGAGCGUCUUCCUAGCAGAGAGCCAGACCAGAGUUCCCCCACUCUCCUUCAGUUUCAACCUUUCAAAACCCAUGUCAUGGACACCAAGACUCCAGGGACUUCCGGAAAUAGCCUUCUUUAGGCUGUCUGCUGAGCCAAAUGGGAAACUGAGGCCCAGAGAUGGAAGAGAGGCAAUACUGAUGCUGAUCUGGAGCUAACUAGCUACAGCAGACUCUGCCAGCUGGUGACUUGGACAAGCAUAUCUACCCAGCUACCUCUUUGCUGUCAGUUGAGGAUAAAACCAGCACCUGCUCCCUGGACACUGAGGAGAGACCUUCAGGGGCACAUGAACCCUAGGAUACGGAUAAGAAACCAACAAGGUUUGCUGCCUACUGUGGCUGCUGCCAGAGGUACCAGUAUCCCCGGAGUCCUUCUGAUGUACACCCACCCCCAACACUGAAACCUGCUGGCUGAGCUAUACUUCCCCCAAGAAGUCAACUCAAGCAGAGACCGAUCCUUUGAACAACGUGGUAUCAUCCACUGUUGGGGGUCAGAGCCAUGAGGGUGUCUGUCCUGUAGGAUUUAUCUUGGGAAUCUCCAAACUCCAUUGUGUUUCCUGCUGCCACCAAGAUGAAUUCCCUCUGCUUUCCUUGUCUGUGUACCCUAGCGUUACCAUAGCAGGCCCAGAGUAGGGUCUUGUCUAAAAGAAUGAUGGGUAACUGGUGAGUGAAUAAGAAAAGAGGAUGGGGGCUGGAGAGAUGGCUCAGAGGUUAAGAGCUCCGACUGCUCUUCCAGAGGUCCUGAGUUCAAUUCCCAGCAACCACAUGGUGGCUCACAACAAUCUUAUCUGGUGCCCUCUCCUGGUGUGCAGAUAUACAUUGUAUACAUAAUAAAUUUUUUUAAAAAAGAAUAUAUAAAAAAAGA